CGGCUCGUUUCCAACUUGCCUCGCUCCCGGAUUGGUGUCGUGCUGGUCGCCCCUCCGCCGGGUUUCAGCCACUACCCGAAGGGCUCGAGCGGCCCUGCGGCCCGGAGACCCAGUGCGCGUCGCGAGAGCUCAGGAGCAGCGAACAGUGAGAGGAAAGCUAGCUGAGCAGAGGAAGCACGGCGACGCAGCCACAGUUUUGGAACAGUACGCCCAGCCUAUCACUCACAGUCCCAGUUGGUGGGACUGGCCUGGAGUACAUGCUCGAUAAAUACUGAUGCAAGAGACAAAGGAGGGGUGUCAAUUCUGGAAAUGAUCACAAAGCACAAGACCCCAAAGGAUCCUUGCAGGCCUAUACCACAUGUCCCAGAGAAACAUGCUCAAGCAGCAGAUCCUCAGCACCCACUGAAGAAGCCGAGUCACUAGUCUGACCUUCCUACUCAACCAGCUCUCCCUGGACUCAGUCUCGUCACUGCAUUCAGCCCCACGCAGGAGCAUUCCUGCCUCGGGGUCUCACUGACACUCUUCUGCCCACCACACCCAACAUUCUCAAUCCUUCUUUGGCAAUCCUAAACCUAUCUCUUUUUCAAGGUUCAAGGUGUUUUGCAUGCAGUUAUGUCCAAGGGAGAUUAGCAUGCAAUUACCCUUAAAAGAACAAGACCAAAACCUGUAGAGCGCAGGAAAUAGGAAGAAGUUGGUCAAAGAGUACAAACCUUCAGUUAUAAGUUCCAGAGAUCUAAUGUAUAGCAUGGUGACUACAGUUAACAAUACUGUAUUGUAUACUUGAAAGUUGCUACAAGAGUAGAUUUAAAAUGUUCUCACCGGGCUUCCCUGGUGGUGCAGUGGUUAAGAAUCCGCCUGCCAAUGCAGGGGACACGGGUUCCAGCCCUGGUCUGGGAAGAUCCCACAUGCCGCGGAGCAACUAAGCCCGUGCGCCACAACUACUGAGCCUGCGCUCUAGAGCCCACGAGCCACAACUACUGAGCCCAUGUGCCACAACUACUGAGACUGCGUGCCACGACUACUGAAGCUUGCAUGGAGGCAAGUGGAGCAACUAAGCCCGUGCGCCACAGCUACUGAGCCUGCGCUCUAGAGCCUGUGCUCCGCAACAAGAGAAGCCACCGCAAUGAGAAGCCCGUGCACCACAAUGAAGAGUAGCUCCUGCUCGCCGCAACUAGAGAAAGCCCGCGCGCAGCAACGAAGACCCAAUGCAGCCAAAAAAAAGUUCUCACCAGAACGACAAAAAUGGUAGUUAUGUGAAGUGAAGGAUGAGUUUAUCAACCUUAUUGUGGUAAACAUUUCACAGUGCAUGCAUGUAUCAAAUCAUCACAUUGUAGCUCCUGAAUGUACACGUUACAUGUCAAUAAUAUCUCAAUAAAGCUAGAAAAAAAAGACCUAAUCAUGUCAAAGCCAACCUCUGUUAAACAGAUGACACACAUAAAUGAAGAUUUUAAUUAUAUUAAGGAAUUUCUUUUCUUUAAACAUCUCCCUGAUCACUAAUUCUUAACUCAGCAAUCACAGCAAAUCCAACCUAGUUCUCGAACGAGGCUACUGCAAUACUUUGACCUAGCUCUGGGUUAAGUUAGACUACAUGCUCAUGCUCUGUGAGGACAGACGUUGUGGCUGUUCUUGCAGCUACACUUUUAUCCUGAGCAUAUCACAGGGCCAGCCGUUAACACCUGGUUAAUCAGUGGUUCUCAACUCUGGCUACACAUUAAAAAAUCACCUGGGGACUUCCCUGGUGGCGCAGUGGUUAAGAAUCCGCCUGCCAAUGCAGGGGACAUGGGUUCGAGCCCUAGUCUGGGAAGAUCCCACAUGCCGUGGAGCAACUAAGCCCGUGCGCCACAACUACUGAGCCUGUGCUCUAGGGCCUGCGAGCCACAACUACUGAGCCCGUGCGCCACAACUACUGAAGCCUGUGCGCCUAGAGCCCGUGCUCCACAACAAGAGAAGCCACCGCAAUGAGAAGCCCGCGCAGCACAAGGAAGAGUAGCCCCUGCUCACCACAACUAGAGACAGUCCGCGCACAGCAACGAAGACCCAACACAGCCAAAAAUAAAUAAAUAAAUAAAAUUAAAAUAAAAUAAAUAAAUAAAUGUCAAUGUUUACCAAAAAAAGU